GACGAACGCUGGCGGCGUGCUUAACACAUGCAAGUCGAACGGAAAGGCCCUGCUUGCAGGGUACUCGAGUGGCGAACGGGUGAGUAACACGUGGGUGAUCUGCCCUGCACUUCGGGAUAAGCCUGGGAAACUGGGUCUAAUACCGGAUAGGAGCCAUUUUUAGUGUGAUGGUUGGAAAGUUUUUUCGGUGUAGGAUGAGCUCGCGGCCUAUCAGCUUGUUGGUGGGGUAAUGGCCUACCAAGGCGGCGACGGGUAGCCGGCCAGAGAGGGUGGACGGCCACAUUGGGACUGAGAUACGGCCCAGACUCCUACGGGAGGCAGCAGUGGGGAAUAUUGCACAAUGGGCGCAAGCCUGAUGCAGCGACGCCGCGUGGGGGAUGACGGCCUUCGGGUUGUAAACUCCUUUCGCUAGGGACGAAGCUUUUUGUGACGGUACCUAGAUAAGAAGCACCGGCUAACUACGUG
rnacentral:rRNA from 1 species